rnacentral:rRNA from 1 species
UACGGGGGGGGCAAGCGUUGUUCGGAAUUACUGGGCGUAAAGGGUCUGUAGGUGGCUUGCUAAGUCAGACGUGAAAUCCCUCAGCUUAACUGGGGAACUGCGUCUGAGACUGGCGAGCUUGAGGGCAGGAGAGGAACGCGGAAUUCCAGGUGUAGCGGUGAAAUGCGUAGAUAUCGAGAGGAACACCAGCGGCGAAGGCGGGUUGCUGGGCUGACACUGACGCUGAGGCGCGAAAGCCAGGGGAGCAAACGGG